GGAGGGAUAGCUUUGUGGUAGAGUAUGUGCCUAGGAAGCACAAGGUCCUGGGUUCAAUCCCCAGUGCCUCCA